rnacentral:lncRNA from 1 species
CGCGCCGCCACCAUCUCGUCCGCCGGCGCUGCCGGCUGCAGCGACAUCCACCCGCCGCCUUUACCUUCCUGGGCGCGAGCCCGCGCUCAUGUCCGGGGCUGGCGGAAAGCGCUCCCUGAGGACACGUAAAAGCGUUUCAGACCCGGGCAGCGUCCCUGCCCGCGCUGCUCCUCUGGCAGGCUCCGCUCGCGCAGGGAGACGCGCGGCACUUGGCUCCCGCCUGAAGCAGGGCCUUGCUUCCUGAGCCUGGGAACCGGGUCUGCGGUACGCAGURUCUACACCAGGACGAGUGUGCAACGCGGUUUCCUCUGUCUGUUUAUCGGGAAUGCUGCAAGCAGCAGGCUCCAGCUCGGCUCCAGCCUUGUACAUGCUGCAGUUGCUAUAAGACGCAUAUUGAAAAAUUCAGCACAGACACAGAAUAUGGACUGCUCUGCACUUCUAAAGGAAUUAGGACUUGAAAUUCAUGCUGCUACUGUUCUUUAAGGUAUAAAAUAAAACAAAACAGAUUGUGCUUUAUGUUCCCA